GCAGUAGCCGCGGGAAUACGUAGGUCCCGAGCGUUGUCCGGAUUUAUUGGGCGUAAAGCGAGCGCAGGCGGUUAGAUAAGUCUGAAGUUAAAGGCUGUGGCUUAACCAUAGUACGCUUUGGAAACUGUUUAACUUGAGUGCAAGAGGGGAGAGUGGAAUUCCAUGUGUAGCGGUGAAAUGCGUAGAUAUAUGGAGGAACACCGGUGGCGAAAGCGGCUCUCUGGCUUGUAACUGACGCUGAGGCUCGAAAGCGUGGGGAGCAAACAGGAUUAGAUACCCCUGUAGUCCCUGUCUCUUAUACA
rnacentral:rRNA from 1 species